rnacentral:misc_RNA from 1 species
GCCGGCCAGCGAGUGCACCGGUCGCUUCGGAAGGAUCUGGAUGCGCCGAAACGCCUCAUAGUAGUCCCCAUUGGUCCGACUCUGCUGCAUACCUCUCUCUCACGCUCUAGAAGCUGUGUCGCGCACCAACAUUCUCUUUUUGCACCUGGUGCUCGUGACGGUGGAGCGGUGUGGGCGCCGCUUCCGUUGAGUUUUCGAUGGGCUGAUGGCGGAAAAGCAGCUGUGCAUGGGCAUUCUCGUGCAUGGCCAAGCCCCCCGCGCGGCCUCACAUUUGCGGGGCUCCUGACUAAUGACGCCGGCUGCUGGUGGGCGUUCAGUGAGCACCGAAAGCCGUGGAAAGGCGGGCGUCCCGCGCACGUGGGGAUUCUGAAUGCGGAUGGCUCAAUCACCAUGCUGCUGAGGGGAGGGGUGCCGGUGUCGGAGGAGUGCAUCCAUCGCCUCGAGGCGGCUGUCAGCCAAUUCACGGACAGCCGCUCGUGCCCGCUGCCGGGAGACGAAGCGGAUGCUGACACAGGGCGGGUUGCAGUGGGUCUGGGAAGACAUGGAUGUUGCCCUCCCUGAGGGGCCCCAUCGCGGACCGGCACGCCCACGGAGGAGGAUCCGCGGGUGCUCUUCCGUCUCCCCUCCUUCGUGUUCGGUCCGUGGCAUGCAUGCAAGGCGUCGCUGCAGGGCGGGCACAGCGUGUGCCGGCUCAUUCUGGUAGCGGCAUCGACGGCCGAGCGGACGGAUGCAGCGCAGGCCGCGGCGCAAGCAACCACGACGCCUUCAGCUGCGGGCAGCCCCCAGGCACCAUUUGCUGCAGCGCGACGUGGCGUGGGCCUCUGCUGAAGGCGCACCUUGCCCAAAUCGUCAGAACCAGCCCGUGUUGCCCAGGCUGUGGCAUGAUGCAGACCGUCGUCUCGUCGUCUUCUCGGCGAUCUGCAGCGUCGCAUUCAACGGGCGCGGCAUGACGCCAGCAGAGACCCGCGACAUUGCACUGGCCUUGAAGAGGGCCUUCGACUGCCUCCUCACUCAGGCGCGGCUCUCGCGCUUGCUCACCCUCUGCAGCGCAAGCUCCCGGGACGAGCGGACGAUGGACCCCGUGGCUCUGAUGUGUUUAGCCGCGAGCAGGUGCAUGAGACGGAGGCACAGUGCGAAGAGAGCAGGGUACCGGGGUGCCCCUAUCACGUGUACACCCCACAGCGAGGUUUGCGGGUGGGGAGUGCGGCGGCAGCGGACAGAAGGAUCAAGCAGCCAAAUGAAGUGAGCGCAACCUUGCGCGCCCCCUCUCACGGCGGGCACCACAGUGUGCGCCGCCGCGCCGGAAUGUAAGCGUCGCGCAGCUUCGCAGCCGCCGGCCACUGCCUGAGCCCUUGGCAGACACACGCACGACCUUGCGCUGGGCCCACACACGGCACUGUUGUCCAUCCACCGCGUGGCCGUGUUGUGUCGUGCGUAGCACACGUAUGCUCGGAGCAUCACGGGUGCUCUGCGGUGGCUGGACCAGCCGCCCCACGCGCUGACGCUGCUGGAAACGGUCUCAAGAGCGACGGGUGCGUUAGUGCCACUCAGGGCCGCCCCUAUCCGUGUUCGCCGCGCUGCUCAGAAGUGCCCCGGGUGAUCUGUACAGACGGUAUAAGUGGGCCGCAGCCAAUGCACCAAGACGCACCGCACCGACGAUGACGGUGGACGCGGUGUCCGGCCCCUACACCGACGCGCAAACGAACAGUUGAGGAGCCGCCUGCGUACAGCGGGCAACACAGCAAGCCCCCAUGACAAGCCAGCAUUGAGGUCACGGUCCCGCCGAUGGCGCGCGUGCGGCGGCGCGCCGAGUGUUGUCUUGCCUCACUCGCGUGGAGCUUCACGAACUAAUCGACACACUGGCGCAUCUACGCACGGCCAUCUCCUUGCCGACGGUGGAGGGUGCGCCGCAACGCUGUGACGCUGGCGUGUGCGGCCGUUGUCUGUGCCAUCUCGCCAUGGAGGGGUGCCCACUGCGUCGCUCAGCAUGGCGACCGCUGGGCUGCGGCGCCUCGUCUUGUGCAUGACUGCCGUGUUCAGCCGCGAGCAGGCGUUCGCCCACACGCAGCACACCAUCGACGCUGCUAGCCUCCACCACUUGGUCGGCAUCUCACGGCAACGACGUGGGCGAGCUGUUUGCCGCCGUGCAUCAAGGCCGCGUGUGGGCGGCAAGGUGUACGAAUGGGAAACUGUUGAAGGCAGCGCGGCAGCUGCAGGAGACGUGUGCCGGCCGCGCGCAGCUUCGUUCCGCUCCGCUGCGCAUUUCCCCGGUGCUGGUGGCGGUGGACGCGCGGGGAGAUGAGGAGGUGAUGGGGAAGGGCGGGUGGUGGAUCUGUGCGAGCGCGUGGGUGUCGGGGUGGAGGGGAGUGUGCACUGAUGGAGGGGCACCCUCACGUGCUGCGACCGGCACCCCCGCCCUCCUCGCCCCAUCGCGCGCACACCGGGGGGAGGGGGGUCGCUGCUGCUCACAUCCCCUGCUCUCUGGCGAUCCUCCUCAUUGUUGUGGUGCAGGGCUGCCGCGGUGCGGUGUCCGUGUGUUUUCCGUCGGUCUGCGCCCGGCGUGUCUCUCCCUGUGGUCCUGCAAUGAGCGGGAUGCGCGGUGACGGCGCGGCGCCGGUGGUGUCGGCGGAUUGUCGCGGCGGUGCCGCCUGUGAGGGCCGCGACGAUGGCGGUGUGUUUGUGUGCUGCUGUCUCCUCCCACGGUGCUGUGAUCG